rnacentral:rRNA from 1 species
GAUGAACGCUGGCGGCAUGCCUAACACAUGCAAGUCGAACGAAGCACAUGACGAAGCUUGCUUAAGAUUGUGACUUAGUGGCGAACGGGUGAGUAAUGCAUGAGCAACCUGCCCUUCAGUGGGGGACAACAGUUGGAAACGACUGCUAAUACCGCAUAAUACUUCCGAAAGGCAUCUUUUGGAAGUCAAAGAUUUAUUGCUGAAGGAUGGGCUCAUGUCUGAUUAGCUAGUUGGUGAGGUAACGGCUCACCAAGGCGACGAUCGGUGGCCGGACUGAGAGGUUGAACGGCCACAUUGGAACUGAGAUACGGUCCAGACUCCUACGGGAGGCAGCAGUGGGGAAUAUUGGGCAAUGGGCGAAAGCCUGACCCAGCGACGCCGCGUGAGGGAAGAAGAUCUUCGGAUUGUAAACCUUAGUCAACAGGGAAGAAGAAAGUGACGGUACCUGUGGAGGAAGCCACGGCUAACUACGUGCCAGCCGCCGCAGUAACAC